UACGAAGGGGGCUAGCGUUGUUCGGAUUUACUGGGCGUAAAGCGCACGUAGGCGGGUUGUUAAGUCAGGGGUGAAAUCCUGGAGCUCAACUCCAGAACUGCCUUUGAUACUGGCAACCUAGAGGCUGGAAGAGGUUAGUGGAAUUCCCAGUGUAGAGGUGAAAUUCGUAGAUAUUGGGAAGAACACCAGUGGCGAAGGCGGCUAACUGGUCCAGAUCUGACGCUGAGGUGCGAAAGCGUGGGGAGCAAACGGG
rnacentral:rRNA from 1 species